UGUUGGAAUCAACUGUGAGGCCGCAGCUGCAGGAAUAAGGACUAGAGGGUGACUUCAACAAAACCAAGUGAAGUGUUUUAAUGAUGGAUACAUUUUUCAAUGAGAUGAGUUUCUUCCAGACCCUACUGGGUGUUUCUUUGAGCUAUCAUGAGGACUUCUGCAAGGAUUUUCUGCAGGACUAGCAAAAGCAUCGUGGAUUCUACACCGUCCCAGCAGACAGCCACAUCCCUGCUGUGGCUGGCCAAAUGCAGCAGUAACAGCACAAGCAUGAGAAGAGAACACCAGAAUAAAUCAGAGGAAAACAAAAUGAAUAGUUUGUGAACCCACCUGAAAAUACUCUGGGAAUUCUUUGAACUGAAA